AUUGGCCCAAUGAUCUUUAAUGUGCAUGAGAUGAGGGAAUUUCUUUCCAUUCACUGUCUUGACGUUGUGGUAAGGAUCAAAAUUACUUCUUGCAGUGUGUGUCUUGAGAUUAUAAUAUUGCAACUUUUCUUCGGAUCCUUGUUCCUCUUGUAAGGUAUAACAAGUUUCAAUGGACUUCCCUAUCAUGUUGGGGAAAUUCGUUCUUGCCUUCUUCUUUUUCUUCUGAAUCUUAUCAUACUCCAGCAAUUGCCUUGACAACUCUAGUAGCACCAUCCUAUCCAUAGGAUAUCUUGGAAGACGGUAUGCAUAGGAUGAGUAUCCUUGUAUCCUUAGAUAAGUGAAUUUAGGGAAUUGAAUGUACCAUGAACCAUACUUUUUGAUCAGAUUCAUAGCCUUCUUAGACAACCGCAUAUGAAUGCCUCCUUGUAACAUUCUCACAUUCUCACAUUCUCACAAUAUGCAUUGUGAAGGCAUCAUUCACUCUCUUGUAGUGAGCAAUGUGCAAAUGUAAUUGAGGAUAGGUGUCAUAUACCAACAUUUGUCCUUCAGCAGGUCCAACUGGUGCUCUACAAGUUAGUCCUUUAUAUUUGCAAUAUCUAGCUAGGAUAUAUACCACAUAUGAGCUCAUAUAAAAAGUCUUUGUCUGCUCUAUAUCCUUCAACUGUUCAUUCAGGUUGUCACUCACUAACUUUGCCCAAUUGAUGAUCUUGGUUCCCUUUGCAACCUCUUCAAUGUAAUACCACAUCCAAUGCUCAUAUGAAGAAGCUUAGGGUGACCCCAUGACUCGGUUCAGCAUCACGACCUAAUCUCCAAUUCCUUCCUUGAAGUCAGAUUUGAGAAGCUUCUUUGGUAACCUCUUAUGGUGAUGUCUAGGCUCUUUGAUCUACUCGUUGUUGAUAAUCUCAACACAUUUUUCAGGCUUGCUAUCAUAUAAUGCUAAGGCAUCCUUCUUGAUCUUGUAAACCAUGGAGUCACAUAUAGGAAGAUCAAAUACUUCUGCCACUGCUGCCUCUGUGAAGUAAGCUAACACUUUACCAUCGGGUGCCACAAUUUGUCUUCGUUUCCGAGUUGUAGUGCUUGGCACACUCUACAAUCAGCUCACUACAUUAAACUGCAGGGAGGAAGCCAGCAAUAUGAGAGAUGCCAUUCCUUGUCAACUUUCUUGCCAUCUUGGAAGUAUUGUACUUCCCCUUCCCAAACACUCGAUCUUGAAAGUCAUUGAUGUCAAUGUGACCAAGCUUGAUGUUACCAACUUUUCGCCAUUUAGAGGAGAGCUUGGAUUCCAAGAGUACUCCUCUAAACUCAUCCUUCAUUUGCACCUACCUUCUGUUACCUCCAGUCCUUGCUCCUGAUAUCUAUCUGCAAGACAGUUUACUUUGUAUUAUGAUAUUGAUAUUUCUUGAGGUUUCUGAUGAUUAAAUGAUGACCAAAAGUUAGACUGUACACCUCUUAUGCCUUUAAGUCUGAAAUGAACUGCAAUGAGAUUGAUGCAAAGGAUGCGAAAGAGAGUAAGCCCUAAUCAAUCCUCAAGUAAUGAAAUCUGAAAUAAAAUGCCACAAGAAACCCUAAUUUUAACCUAAAUUCUCAGCUUUCCACAUACCCCAAUCAAAACAAAACUCGAUUUUGCUUAAAAAAAAUGAAUUGCAGCCUGGAAAUUAGUCUGCAACGAUUGAAUUGCAGAGCUUGGUUCAAUAGGUCAGACCUGGAAAUGAUGUAAAUAACUCGGACAUUUAAUCUUAUAAUAAAAUUUUAAGCCUAGGGUUUCUUGAAAUUUGCAGCAAAUGAUGAUUUUUCCUCAAAAUCAGGUUUGUAAUGAUGUUUUGAUUGAUGUUGAUGGUCUGAUUUGAAUCAGCCUUGCCUUUAGGACUGCCACAGACCUGUUAUAAAUUCAAAUUUCAGAUCUGCCAAGGUUUGAACUUGUAUCAAUGCUGCUUGAUGCUUGUCUUAAAUCUCUUUAACUUCACCUUAAGAUGCCUGAUUGGAUUGUCUUCCUUGUUUGAAUUUGCAGGUAUGAUCGGAUUGGAUAUAAUGUUUGUUGGGUGAAACUUUUGUACACUUGGGGAAUGUGCAAAAUUGUGGUUUCAGCCACAGUGUGUGAGUAUGAUACUCUCCUAAUUUAGUGAAGGCUCCCCCUAUCUACAAACUAAACUAAUUUAAUAUGGGUGAGACAACAGUCUUCUUCUUCUCUCAAGAAAAACUAUACUCUUUUCUCUUCACAAAAAAGUAAUAGCAAUUGGAAAUAAAUAACAACAAAUAUAGAAAUGAGACUUUUUUUUGUAGUAUUUUUGAAACAAAGGGAAGCAAAGUUUCCAUGAAAGCACAAAGACCUCCGUCACUUCCCCGGGACAAGAAAACAGAAAUGAAAGCACAAAGUCUUCAACACUUCUACUGUCCUAUCAAAUUGAUAAUAAUGUACAACACACAACAGCUCAAAGUCUGUCUAUAUGAUGCACUUCACCUUACAUGCACAAGUCUUAAAAAUAAAAGCAACACAAAGUCUACAAGUUAUCUCCUUACUUGAUCUUUCUACACUAGCUUCAAACAUGAUAAACAACUCAAAGUUUGCAAGACCAAGUCUGAAAACCAAACCUAUAUCUCCAAAUGCAAUUAGCAGCUCAAAGUCUACAAGAUUGAAUUUGAAUCCCUCUUAAACAAUAUAACAAAAAUCACAAUCAACUCUAGAAAAUGUCAUCACAUAACAACUUGAAUUGGCACAAAGUCUCAACACAACUUGCCUCUUUUAUUGAAAGCAAUUUGAUUUACUUCUAAGCUCAAAGUCUGAAAGUGUACAUACAAAUUGACAAAAUUUUGCUGCAUUGCCAAAAGAUAAAAAAAUUACAAUAGAUCCCCUCAAGUAUUUAUAGGAGAGGAACCUUGAGAAAAAGGUGGGAGGAUCCUAACUAACUUGAGAAAUUCUUUCAACCACCAUGACUUAUUCCAACUACUAACUAAGACUUAUUCAAAAUUACAAUUCCUAUUCUGAAUUUACUUGUAAUCAACUUACUUGUAAUUACAAAAGUGCAAGUGAUACACUUGCAAUUACAAAAUUGUUUUUUUUACAAGUAAACUUGUCAAAACGAAAUUACAAAUACACAAUUGAAACUAUUCUAUGUGUUCGAAGACAUGACUCUAAUUACAUCAUCCUCUGUUUUGAAAAUGUUCAUGCUGCUACAAGACACUAUGUGAUCGAGGUAAAUGGCAUCUUGAACUGGAACAAGAACUUACACCUUUGAUAGUCUUUGUGUCUUUAACCUGCGAACUCCAACCUUUCACAUGCUUGGGGUAGUACUGACUUUCCAGGAGAGAAGUUCUUUGCAAGGUUGAAGUAAGAAGUCUAUCUCUGUCUUGAAAGCAUUCUAUGCUCUCAACCAUUCAUGUCACUUAUCCAUCUCCUUGUGUGGCUCCGUCAUGUUGUUGUUCUUUCUCCAAUCUUGGAAUCUGUUUGCAAAAUAAGGCCCAUGGUCUUAUCCAUUGAUUUGGUAGGUCUUUUGUGCGAACAUGACUGACAAGGGAAAGGAUGAAUUGAUGCAAAAAUGGGCUCACAAGUGAAUUUCGGGUUUUGGAAACUUCAUUACAUGCGUGGAAAAACAAGAGUAUUAACUUGCAAUUGUGGAGAACAAACAUGCAACUUCAUAUGUGUAAUGGGUAUCCACAAGUUUGCACUUAUAAUUGGACCUUUAAGACUCAUUUUCAAGUGUUUUUGAGUGCAUUUUGGACCAAUUUCGGUUCUGGAAGGCUGACUGCAAGUGAAGACACAACUGCAAUCGGGUUUUAAAAUUCCGACUGCAAGUAGACUUUAAAAGGGAAAAAUGGAUGAAGGUGUGAAAUGAGUGGAUGAAAUGGUGGGAAUAGGGAUUUUGAUAUGUGGGAAAUGAUGGGAAUGAAGCUUAUGACCAUGUACAUGUAUGGGAAGGAAUAUUUUCAGAUUGACAACUUGGAAAAAGGGAAAAAGUUCAACUUGUAAUCAGAUUUGUAAAUCCUGAAAUCAAAUGAAUGAGUCUCAUGACAAUUCCUCAAUAUUUGUAAAUUUUGUAAAAAGAAGAUUAACUCUUUUUACCAAAGGGGGAAGGUCAACAUUACCACAGUUACUUGUAAUCGGGUUUUAUAGACCUGAAUACAAGUAAAUAGGAAAAAUGAAAGAGGGGAAAAUCUUGCACAUUUACAAAUUGCAUUCAAAGAACUUACCAUUUGGGAAGAUCAAUUAGAAACUCGAAUUCUUGCUUGGUCAAAUGUGUCCUAGACCAAAACAAAUGAGCUUGGGAAGAAUUGAAAUGCUCCAUAAACAAACAUGCUGAAAACCCUUGGCAGCCAAAAACGAAUUUUGAUUCAACCUCCUCCUUCAAAAACGGCAUGGAAAUAAGACUCAUGUUUGAUGCCAAACACUUUGCAUUAAUGUUGGAUACAAAACGUGGCAACAAUGGCGAAAAAGGAGCACCCAAAAUGCGGAAAGAACCAGCAAAAGAUGUCUUCAAAAACGUCUUCCAAAAUGCCUUACGUGUUUGCCCAAGCCGUUUUUGGUAGAAAACGUGGCAACUAGCAUUGAUUCCUAAUAAUUUAGCAUUAAUAUGGAACGGAUUUAGGGGAAGAAAUGCCACCAAAAACAGAUUUGUGAGAGCAAGGAUGCAAAUCGGGUUUUUCCUCUCCAACUACAAGCAAAAAACGUAGCCUACAAAGAUGCAAUCGGGUUCUAAAAACCUUUUACAAGUUUAAAAUGACUUACUUUUCCCUUCAUUUGUGCAAAUUCGGGUUUCUAGGAGAGAAAAGUACAAAAGGACUUGUAUAGGGAAAUAAAAUCCCUAUUACAACUUUCAACAAUAAAACAUAAAAACUUGCAAUAGGAAAUAAAAUCCCCAUUACAGCUUAAAAAUAAAACAUAAAGUCACAUAAAGACUUGUAAUAGGGAAACAAAAUCCCUAUUACAAGUUUAAAACAUAAAGUAGGAACUUUUAUGAGAACUUACAAGUUCUCAUUAAACUUGUAAUUUUAAAUUCACUUGCAAUUUAUCCAAAAAGUUCCUACAACUUAAAAGACAUAAAAAGCAAGGGGGAAAUAAAAAGUAAGUUACAAGUUACAAGUUUUAAAUAAAGUGCACUUGUAAUUGUUUUAAAAUUUCCCUACAACACAAAAACAUAAAGGAAACUCCUAACUUGCAAUAGAAAGAAAAUUUCUCACCUGCAGUUAGGAAGAAAAAACCCAAAAUUGAAAGAAAGACAUAGCAAAUGAACUCGAAACGCGAUGAAAUUUGAAACGUGAAUCGAGAAUGGAUCGAAGAUCAGUCCUGUUCACCAAGGAGCAAUUUUUUUUUGCCUCGGGAAGCGUGCCUUAAGAGUAAAAUCUCAACUUGCAGUGACUGCUCUGAAAACCCGAAUUUGCACAAAAAACUACGAAAAAGAAGACCAAAACUCACCAAAAUUUGGACAAUGAUGGCAAAGACACCCCCCAAUGAUUUGACACUAACAAAUGUGAGUUUUGUACCUCAUAAAAUGUGCCUUGGAGACAAAAACAAUAUAUUUAAACCAAAAUUUUGUAAGGGUUGUCACAUUUUUGAAAAUCCAAAAAUGAGGACAACAAUGUUUUGAAUGGCUGAGCAAAUGAAAUGCUCAACCCAUUCAUACAUAGGCGUUUCAACCACCAAGUGUCUUUUCAUCUUCAAGGCUGACUUGACAAAAGACAAAUCGUUUAAUCUCCUUCAUUGAGCGCAUUUCUUCUUGUGGCCAACUUAGCAAAUGAAAUGAAUUGCAUUGCUUCAUUUCCUUCUUUGAGCAUUUCUACAUGUGGCUGAGUUAGCAAACCUUGCAACUUGACUUAGGAGCGCCUUGCUAGGGCAGAUUUUUCACAUCUAUUUGCACAAGUGAGGGCGCAAACUUCAUGCUCAAUUGUACAAAUGAAGGCGCAAAUCGUAGGUCCAUUCACCCAAAAUGCUCCCUUGAGCGCAUUUUUAACGUUUAUUUACACAAAAUAUUCCUUGGUUAAGCCCAUUUUCAAAUUUUCAAUGGUUAAUUGCAAAAAAACUUAAAGGAGGGCGCAUUUUUGGCGUUCAUUUGCACAAAGGGUUAAGGGAGGGUGCAUUUGUUAUGGUCAAUUGCACAAAUGUUAGCGCAAAUCCUAGGCUCAUUCGCACAACAUUUACUUAAGCGCAUUUUCUAUGUCCAUUUGCACAAAAGGGGGGCACGAAAUUGGGGUUCACUCGCACAAUCUUGGUUGCUUGAGUGCCUUUUCACCUCUCAUUUGUACAACUUAGGGCGCAUUUUGCCCUCUCAUUUGCACCACUUUUGCUUGGGCGCAUUUUUCAUGCCCAUUUGCACAAUUUUGAAAGUAAGGUGGUCCUUGCCAAGACUCAUACUUAGUCAAAUUUUCAUUGCAAACAUCAGGCUCACUCUUCUCCAUUAACGUUUGCCACCUUGAUUGAUAUGUUGCUAGGUUCUUGUGAAGUUCUAGGUGACUUAGAGGCUUUGAUACCCCUUCUAGGUUGGGCGUAAAUUCUAGGUUCAUUUGCACAAAUUGCCCUUGGUGAGCAAGCUUGUAUAAGGACCACGACUUAAGCAAAAUUUUAACUUAGUCAAAUUUUCUCCUCCAGACUUCCAUGAGUUCAUUGCCUUCAUUCUUCACUAUUUGGGUGUAUUUUGUUGGAUAUUGUUGGUCAUUGCUGCUGCUAGGAUAUGUUGUUGUCAUUGAUGUCAACAUAUUCCGGUGAUUGCUCCAGUGAUUGCAGAUUGGGAAGGUUUUGUGAUCUGGUUUGUAGUGUUGGUUUGCUGAUCACUGUUUUGCAAAGUCCGGUAUAUCUUCCGGUAUAUUCCGGUGUGAUCAAAUCUGGUGCUGAGCUUUUGGGAUAUUGCUUGGGAUGGUCUUGUGUAUCUUCAUUUCAGUUGGAUCGUGAUUUGGUGCUCCGCAAGUUAUCUUUCUUCGUGAGAGUUGCUGAUUGGUUGUGUUCUUGAGCUUUCAGACGUUGACCGAUGAAGAUUUGAAAAGUGGUGUUGGUGCAGCUGUUCUGGAUGAUUCUAACGUGCUUGUUGGUGUUUCUUAGUCAUUUCUUAUUUAUUUUGGCGAUCUGCAUUGAUCGUUGUGCGAGUUUUUGAUGGUUUCUAUCAACCGGUGAUUUGCGUGUUAUGUAGUAUUUCUGGUGGUGUAGCGUGUUGCGGUUGAUCUUGGCAUGAUUUUCGGUGGAGUUGUGCGUUUGGGAAUUUGAUUUAGGACCAUGUUAUGCUAUGUAAACCAUUAUAUUGGUCCGAUGGUCGAUCUUUGUAUCGUGUGAUGUAAUUUUGUAAUUGAGGGUUGAGGGUUUUGCUGACCUUGUUAUCAAGGUUGAUGAAUUGUAUAUAUAGGUGAUAUAGUCAUGUAGUUUGGGUGUCGAUGUUGUGUAUGCAUUAUUAGAGAGAGGUUUGUGUGCGAACAAAUGAUUUAUCCUUCGGUGUUGAGUUUGUGGUGAGAUUGGUGUUGUAGGGCAGACAUUUGUGCUUAACUGGAACUGUAAUCAGGCAUUUGGAGAUGCUAUUCUUUCAGUUCAUUUCUUUCGGAUUGUAGUCCGAAUCUUAUUGUAAGUCAGUGAGACUUCCCUGAGGGUUGUAGCCUUCCGAGCCAUUAUUUUUGAGCAAUGAGCUCUAUGCAAUGUGCUUGAAUGCAUGUGCAUUCCCCAUUGUAACAUUUUCACAUACUAUUGCAGAGUAUCAUCUUACUGUGGGUAGGUUCCCACCAUGGUUUUUCCCGUAAUCGGGUUUUCCACAUCAAAAUCUUGGUGUUGUGUGUUGUACUGUUAAUUGGCUUAUUUGUCUUAUUGCUGCAGUUUAUCAGAUCUAUGUUUUGUGGUUAAGUUUGUUGUUCCAGUGAAGACUGAUUCAACCCCCCCCUCUCAGUCUUUCCUCUUGGUUGCUGCUAACAUAUUUCAUCAUUGGAAGGUAAUUCUUGACAACAAUGCCUCAAUCUUGACCUUUGCGCAAGGCGUAAGGAACUACCGCUUGAUGAUUUAUGCACCUGUGAGCAACGAUUAAGAUGUCGAUGGUUUAUGCACCUAUAGUUGGUGAUUAAGAUUCCAAUGGCUGGCACACCUGUAGGCAGGGGUCAUUUUUCUUUGCUGUGUGUCAUCGGACACCAGCAAAGCAAAGGAGAGUUAUGAAAGCAACAAUAGGAUCAUAAUCAGACACAAUAAUUUAUUCAUUAGAACUGGGAGUGCCAUUUGUAAUUAAUAUUGUGUGUUAUUGCAUUUUGUACUCAAAAACCUUAUCAGAUUAAUAUUGGAUCCUAAGAUUAUUAUUAGUCUCUAAUAUAUUUGGUGUCAUGGUUGGAAAUUCAGUUAUUUGAUUGUUGUUCUAGAGAAGGACUAUAGAGUUGAAUGGUUGUCUAGAAACUUUAAUUUUGUGCAUGCUAUUUGAGCAUAUAAAUUUUGUAUACAAACCCUGUUAAAAGGCCUGCUAAGGAUAUUUCAGACUAGAGCCGUUAGAGAAAACCAUGCAACAACAUAACAUUUUAACUUCUAACUCCUCUUCUACUUGUACAGGCAAAGGUCAUGCUCUCUUUGCAUGGGCCUCAUCUACAACAGCUAGUUGGAAAUUUGACUCUGAAGCUUCCCAUCGCAUGACACAUUCCUAGGUUAUAGUCACAUCCCUCUCAGUUUGCAACACUUCACAUAUUGUAGUGAGGGACCCUACACAACUCUCAAUUUUGGGUUCAGGUACCAUUCCGCUUAGGGAUGAUUGUAUUUAGGAUGUACUUGUUUUCCUUAAUAUUUCAACCAACCUUCUUUCAGUGUAUCGGUUUUGUCAUCCUAGUACAGGCAAGACAAUUGAGUUCUCCCGACAUGAGGUGGUCAUUCAGGAGCUUCAUGAUUUUUAUAUUAUUGUGGCUAUUGGGAGUGUUUGAUUCGACUUCUUAGUUAUAUAGAUUUGAUGGCUUUGAGAAUUCAACAAGUUCAUCUUUCAUAGCACACGCAAACUCUGUUGAUAAGAUUUGGCAUGAAUGUUUUGGUCAUGUCAAUUACAAACAUCUACAAUAGAUUAGCACGUAGCCAUUAGUGAUAGGACUACCUACGAUUUCUUGCAUAGACAGUGUUUGUUGAGGUUGUCCUUGGUAAACACCACUGAGAUUCUUUUCCUAUAGGUAAAGCCACACAUGUGAUUGCACCUUUAGAGUUGGUACAUACUGACAUCAUGUCAUUUUCAACUCCUUUUUUCAGGGGCCAAAUAUGUGCUCACAUUCAUUGAUAACUUCUCAACACGUACAUGGGUGUACUUUCUUAAGUACAAAAGCAAUGUCUUUGAUACUAUCAGGAUCUUCAAGGCAUUAGUGGAGAAUCAAUCUAGUCUUUCUAUCAGUAGGAUACACACAGAUAAUGGGGGGGAGUAUGUCAAUCAUGCUUUUAGGGAUUUUUGCAUUGAGUAUGGUUUUCAACAUCAGCUUACAGUUCCUUACACCACUCAGCAGAAUGGUGUAAUGAUGUUGCUGAGCAAAAGAACAAAAUAAUAUGGUAUAUGGCUGACCAUAUGAUUUAGUCAUGGGAUAUGGAUUCUACUUUUUGAGCCGAAGUAGUGAAUUGUGCCAAUUAUAUUCAAAAUCAUAUGCCUUACAAGGCAUAUGACUCUUGAGGGGGUUUGGUCACUUGUCAAGCUAGAUAAAUCAUUUACAGUUUUUGGUAGUGAAGUUUGGGCAUUUAUUUCAGCUGCUCAACGGAAAGCCAUGGAGAGGAAAGGCCAACCACUCAUAUUUGUUGGCUACUAUGAGGAUGUUAAGGCAUAUAGGUUAUUUGAUCUUGUUUCCAGAGAUGUCUUUUGUAGGUGGAAUGUCUAGUUUGAUGAGUGCUUUCAUCUGAUGGAUUCUUCUUCACUAGAUUAUCCUCACUACCUACUACUCCUUCAUCUCUUGAGGAUUCCUUAUUUCUUAAGGAUGAGGAUGAUGUUCUAGCUCCAUCAGCACCUCUAAAUACUUAAGCGCUUACCCAAGUGGGCCCUCAAUACCAUUGAUGUAGCUGGACCCUUGGUAGGUGAUCCUUUGGAUUCCCAUUGUACUUGUUCACAAACAUUAGGUGUAAGUCUUUUAAGUCAUGCCAUUUUGGAUUAUCCUUAAAAGUUUUUGGAUGCAAUAGUUAUUCCUAAGUGGGAUAGGGCUAUGGUAGAGGAGUACUCUUCAUUGAUGAAGAAUAAUUCUUGGUAUCUUGUUCUCCUUCCUAAGGGAAGAAAGUUGGUUCAGUGCAAGUGGGUGUAUCACACCAAAUAUGUUGCUAAUGGUUGCAUUGAUGUUUUCAUAGGUUGAAGGCAUUGAUUAUUCUUAGACAUUUGCUCUAUUGGCAAGAUGGAUUUUAUUUGUCUUGUACUUUCAGUUGCAGCUUCACAGGGAUGGACAAUAUAUUAGAUGGAUGUGAAGAGUGCUUUCUUGCACGAAGAUCUUCAUGAGGAAAUUUAUGUGGAGCAACCACCUAGUUUUGUGUAUGACUCUUCAGUAGUUUGCAAGCUUUGUCAUUCAUCAUAUGUUCUUAAACAAGCCCUUAGGGCUUGGUAUGAGAAGAUGGACAUUUUUCUGCUUUCUUUUGUUUUUCACCCAUUGUCAUUCCAAUCCCAUAGUGUACACUCAGAGAUAGAGGAUGAUCUUUUGAUUAUAGUAUUGUAUGUAGAUGAUUUGAUUCUUACAAGUAGUUCAUCUUUCAUGAUUCAAAAUGUUCAAAGAGCAUUGAUGGAGCGAUUUGAUAUGACAGAUCUAGGUCUUUUGCAUUACUUUCCUGGUUUAUAAGUUAUUCAGUCUUCGGAUGGGAUUACUAUUUUUCAGCAAAAGCAUGCUCUUGAUAUGCUUUAGAGAUUUGGCUUGCUUGAUUGCAAGCCCACCCCCCAACACUAUUCUAGUUAGGUGUUGUAUUGUCUUCCAAUUAUUCCACUCUUUUAGUUGAUGCUACAUCAUAUAGGUAAUUGGUGGGCAAUCUUUUGUACCUGACACAUUCUCAUCGUGAUAUCUCUUUUGUAGGUGAUCUUGUCUCUCAUUUCUCACAUGAUCCACCUAAGAGUCAUUGGAAGGCUGUGAAGCAUAUUUUGAUAUACAUUCAGAGCACCUCUCAUUAUGAUAUUUGUUAUACAUUAGGAGAUUAUUGGAUUGUGAGCUUCACUGACUUAGAUUGGCCUGGUGAUGUUAAUGACAGGAUGUCCACUUUUGGCUUUGUUUUUUCCCUUGGUUCUGGACGCAUAACAUGGUUUUGCAAGAAGCAAUCAGCUAUUGCUUUAUCAUCUACGAAGGCUGAGUAUCGAGCAGCGGUUUCAGCUAGCCAAGAGAUGAUAUGGCUUCGUUAGUUAUUGAUUUUGGUUUCCCUCCUGAUGGUCCCAAUGUUAUUUGGUGUGACAAUUAGAGUGCCAUUUAUAGUUCUCACAACCUAGUGGAGCAUCAAAGGAAUAAGCACAUAGAGAUCGAUCCACAUGCCCUUCAUUCGGCAAUUGAUUCGGGAUGGUUUUCUUACCUUGGAGUACAUGCCUAUAGAGGAGUAGGUUGCAGAUAUCUUCACGAAACCUUUAGCAUUGCCUUGUUACCUCCAGUUGUGAUCGAUGCUUGGGGUGAAGGAAGUUGUCCGGAGGGGUUCUUCAUGAGGUCUCCUUCAUUUUUUUAUAUGCUUUCUUUCAUGUUUGCAUCUUUUUCUUGGAGAGGAGUGUUUUCACAUGAGGUUUUCUUCUUUUCUUCGGUUUUGAGAGAUUCUUUUUAUUUGUAUGUGGAUACCUCAUCAGGUCUUGUUGUCUAGACUCAUCUUUGUUUUUUCAUGCAUUGUUUUGUGCCACCAUAAGUUUGAUUUAAGGGGAGCUGUUGGUGCAAUUAUUUAUUUAACUACACUUAAUUACCUUUUAUUAGGCUCACUUAAGGCUUUUUUAGGUUUUUUUUAUCCUUGCACAUAAAAGCAAGGCUUUUUAUUUUUUUCAUUCAUUUUGUACUUAUUCAUUCUUGAGCAAUUAGCAAAUCUUGCUUUCCAGCUCUCAUUUUGUGGAAGGUUUCCAGGUUUUGUUGUUUGAUCUUGCUCCUGUGAUUGCUUCAUUUCUUGAACAAAGGCAUCAUGGCCAUGUUUGGAAAAAUUCCUGAAUAGUAAGGCAGCAGCACCAAUUCUUAGUGCCGGAUGCUUAUAAUGGCAUUAUGCGCAUGUUUGGCGAGUUCCAUAUAUCUUUUAAGGAAGAAAAUAGAAUAAGCAGUUCUCCUUUCAUACAGUCAAUCAUUUUGCUUGGGGUACAUCAUUUGCAGGUAAGAAGAGAGUUAGAAGCACUUUGUUAGCAGGUAAUUAGGGUUGGACUGUAUAUCUGAAAACUAAAGACCAAGAUAGAUUUAUAUCUAAAACUGUGUAUCAUUAUGCUUUAAUUAGGCAUAGUUGGAAAACUUAAGACUCGGCACAGACUCAGCAGCUGAAAAUUUGAACUUAGGAAAAUAAAAACACACAAAAAAAGCAGAAACUAAUGCAUUUAGAGAACACACAAAGAAGCAGAAACUAAUGAUGCAUUUAAUUUUAGAGAACACAUCACUUGACAAUCUUAAACAGGACAAAUCAAGCUGUUAAUGACUUGUCCUAUAUUUUAAAGUUCUACACUCAGAAGCCCUCAAUGUGCUCCUAAAUGUAGCAAUAUGCACAAAUACCCCUUAGAAAGGGUGCCUUUUUCUUACAAAGAAAAUGGUUAUUAUUUUAAGCGAAAGCAACAUUUUUGAAACUGACUGAUGCUCCACCUCCUACACUUCAUCACGCGCGACAUUCCUGGAUAACUUAUAUUUUCAAUAGUCGAUAAAUAAUCUCUAAUGCUUUCUUUUGUAGAAGCUGAUAACCAUAUAGGAAUCAUGCUACCUGUAUUUUUAUCAGUUGUAAGAAAAUUGCAAAUGCAAAGCAUGGAAUGCUUUAUUUUAUUAGCAUAAGUGACUGAUGUGGAACACCCCUUUCCCACUUCAAUUCAUAAUGCUGCUGUACACAGUCAUCUUAAUUCUUCUUACUGCUGAGUUUGAUUGGAAAAUUCUAUGCUACAAAUCAUGUUGUAAAUUUUGUUGCAAAAAUGAGCAAAAUAACUACCUUCUCGCAUUUUUCUUUAGUUGUUUUGCUUCUCUUCAACAAGUUAUUAGUACAAGAAGAAAAAUUCACUGUAAUAAAUAUGACAUUUAAUAAACUUCUGUGGAAGUCUCCCUGUUUUCUAUGGAUGUUUUUGGGAGGUAUAGGGAGAUGCUCGGCUACACCAGCUGAAGUCUCAUGAUGUCUGCAAGCAUCCCCAUGCAUGUCUCCAAGGAAGGGUUGCUUUUGUGAGACAGGAGACAAUUACCAAGGGUCAAGAUUCAUGUCCGAAGUAUUCCCUUGAUCCAGAUGGUUUCAUAAGAUACAGUGACCAGUGCCUUGCAUCAUGCCUUUGUGAGGGAUAAGAUAAUAGUCAGCUGUUUCUUAAUAUCUCAUGAAGUUACACUGAACCUGUGUUGAAUAAUAUGGUGGUAAAUCCAAGCUGGUUGCAUAAUCCACAGUAGAUUUAAAGUUACAUGUACAAUGUGCUUAAUUUGAAUUGUGUGUAGCUGGUCAAGAAAAGAAUGGUAUGCCAUGUCUUGCUUCAUCAAUCCACAACGAGGAACAAGUUAAUAAUAUAAUAAGUCUCACAAAUUGUCACUUGAUAAAUUUGAACUUUGGAUUAUUUAGAA